AACGAACGCUGGCGGCACGCCUAACACAUGCAAGUCGAGCGCCCUUUUCGGAGGGAGCGGCGGACGGGUUAGUAACGCGUGGGAACAUACCCAACACUAGGGAAUAGCCACUGGAAACGGUGAGUAAUACCUUAUACGCCCUUCGGGGGAAAGAUUUAUCGGUGAUGGAUUGGCCCGCGUUAGAUUAGUUAGUUGGUGGGGUAACGGCCUACCAAGACGACGAUCUAUAGCUGGUUUGAGAGGAUGAUCAGCAACACUGGGACUGAGACACGGCCCAGACUCCUACGGGAGGCAGCAGUGGGGAAUCUUAGACAAUGGGGGCAACCCUGAUCUAGCGAUGCCGCGUGUGUGAUGAAGGCCUUAGGGUCGUAAAGCACUUUCGCCUGUGAUGAUAAUGACAGUAGCAGGUAAAGAAACCCCGGCUAACUCCG
rnacentral:rRNA from 1 species